rnacentral:misc_RNA from 1 species
GAUGAAGAACGUAGCGAAAUGCGAUAAGUAAUGUGAAUUGCAGAAUUCAGUGAAUCAUCGAAUCUUUGAACGCACAUUGCGCCCGCCAGUAUUCUGGCGGGCAUGCCUGUUCGAGCGUCAUUUCAACCCUCAAGCCCCAGCGGCCUGGUGUUGGGGACCGGCGACCUCGCCCGAGCCCGCCCUCCGGGGCGCGUGCCCGGUGCGUCCGCCGCCCCCGAAAUGAAUUGGCGGCCUCGUCGCGGCCUCCUCUGCGUAGUAGCACAACCUCGCAAGCGGGAGCGCGACGCGGCCACUGCCGUAAAACGCCCAACUUUUUUAGAGUUGACCUCGGAUCAGGUAGGAAUACGCGCUGAACUUAAGCAUAUCAAUAAGCGGAGGA